GCAUCGAUGAAGAACGCAGCGAAAUGCGAUAAGUAAUGUGAAUUGCAGAAUUCAGUGAAUCAUCGAAUCUUUGAACGCACAUUGCGCCCGCCAGUAUUCUGGCGGGCAUGCCUGUCCGAGCGUCAUUUCAACCCUCGAACCCCUCCGGGGGGUCGGCGUUGGGGAUCGGCCCUCCCUUAGCGGGUGGCCGUCUCCGAAAUACAGUGGCGGUCUCGCCGCAKCCUCUCCUGCGCAGUAGUUUGCACACUCGCAUCGGGAGCGCGGCGCGUCCACAGCCGUUAAACACCCAACUUCUGAAAUGUUGACCUCGGAUCAGGUAGGAAUACCCGCUGAACUUAAGCAUAUCAAUAAGCGGAGGAAAAGAAACCAACAGGGAUUGCCCCAGUAACGGCGAGUGAAGCGGCAACAGCUCAAAUUUGAAAUCUGGCCCCUAGGGUCCGAGUUGUAAUUUGUAGAGGAUGCUUUUGGUGAGGUGCCGCCCGAGUUCCCUGGAACGGGACGCCACAGAGGGUGAGAGCCCCGUCUGGCUGGCCGCCGAGCCUCUGUAAAGCUCCUUCGACGAGUCGAGUAGUUUGGGAAUGCUGCUCAAAAUGGGAGGUAUAUGUCUUCUAAAGCUAAAUAUUGGCCAGAGACCGAUAGCGCACAAGUAGAGUGAUCGAAAGAUGAAAAGCACCUUGAAAAGAGGGUUAAAUAGUACGUGAAAUUGUUGAAAGGGAAGCGCUUGUGACCAGACUUGGGCGCGGCGGAUCAUCCGGGGUUCUCUCCGGUGCACUUCGCCGCGUC
rnacentral:rRNA from 1 species